UACAGAGGUCUCAAGCGUUGUUCGGAUUCAUUGGGCGUAAAGGGUGCGUAGGCGGCGCGGUAAGUCGGGUGUGAAAUCUUGGAGCUUAACUCCGAAACUGCAUUCGAUACUGCCGUGCUUGAGGACUGGAGAGGAGACUGGAAUUUACGGUGUAGCGGUGAAAUGCGUAGAUAUCGUAAGGAACACCUGUGGCGAAAGCGACUCACUGGACCACAACUGACGCUGAGGCGCGAAAGCUAGGGGAGCAAACAGG
rnacentral:rRNA from 1 species